GACAGAGGAUGCAAGCGUUAUCCGGAAUGAUUGGGCGUAAAGCGUCUGUAGGUGGCUUUUCAAGUCCGCCGUCAAAUCCCAGGGCUCAACCCUGGACAGGCGGUGGAAACUACCAAGCUGGAGUACGGUAGGGGCAGAGGGAAUUUCCGGUGGAGCGGUGAAAUUCGUAGAUAUUGGGAAGAACACCGGUGGCGAAGGCGGCCAUCUGGACCAUUUCUGACGCUGAGGCGCGAAAGCGUGGGGAGCAAACAGG
rnacentral:rRNA from 1 species